rnacentral:rRNA from 1 species
AUACGUAGGUGGCAAGCGUUGUCCGGAAUAACUGGGCGUAAAGCGCAUGUAGACGGCAUGAUAAGCCAAAUGUGAAAUGUAGGGGCUCAACCCCUGCACUGCGAUUGGAACUGUCAAGCUUGAGUGCAGGAGAGGCAAAUGGAAUUCCCAGUGUAGCAGUGAAAUGCGUAGAGAUUGGGAGGAACACCAGUGGCGAAGGCGAUUUGCUGGACUGCAACUGACGUUGAGAUGCGAAAGCUAGGGGAGCAAACGGGAUUAGAUACCCCGGUAGUUCUAGCCGUAAACGAUGGAUACUAGGUGUAGAGGGUAUCGACCCCUUCUGUGCCGCAGCGAACGCAAUAAGUAUCCCGCCUGGGGAGUACGGUCGCAAGACUGAAACUCAAAGGAAUUGACGGGG